UCGGCACCGAUCCGGACCUGAAAUUCUCGACUGCGAUUGGCUCUCGCGAAUUUUGUGCAAAGGAGCCAAUCACGACCGAGAAAUUCGAUCCAGAUCGGGCUUGAUCGCGAUGAAAGGUAUGCCGUGUGACACCCGUAUUACAUCACCCUUGCUAAUAUCCUACCUCUAAAGCAAGGGCGAAGAGCCAUUUCGAGGCGUAGGCGGGCAGAUCAAAGUUGUUUUUUCCACGUCGGCCACGUCCAUACAGGUAUACAGACGGGUACUUGGACUGGUGUGACUGGCGGCAAUGAAGAAUUUCAUAUGCAGUAGUGUCAUCCCUUGGGCCAUAUUCGUGCUUCUUUUGCCCACAAUAGAAAAGAGAAAUUCUUUUUCUGCCAUCGCUGUCGUUUACAUGGGGCCAAGUUCAGGAAGUCGCCACAUAUCUGGUGGUCCCCAUAAUGCAUCCAGUCAUGGGCAAAAUCAUAAGCAUGGGAAAGGUGACACGGAUCAUCAGGGCCGCAGCAGGGUGAAGCGAGCCUUGAAAAAGAUAAAAGAAAACGCUGGGAACAUUUCUAGGACUAUGGCUGUGAUAGUCUAAACACAAAAGAACUCGGAAAUAAAAAUUUUCGAACCAGUGGGGAAA